GCCCGGAUGGCGGAACUGGUAGACGCAAGGGACUUAAAAUCCCUCGGCCUUUGGCUGUGCGAGUUCGAUCCUCGCUCCGGGUACCA
rnacentral:tRNA from 1 species